rnacentral:tRNA from 1 species
GCCUCCGUAGCUCAGUGGUUAGAGCACUGGUCUUGUAAACCAGUGGUCGUGAGUUCGAUUCUCACUAGAGGCU